rnacentral:rRNA from 1 species
GAUCCUGGCUCAGAUUGAACGCUGGCGGCAGGCUUAACACAUGCAAGUCGAGCGGUAACACUUCGGGUGACGAGCGGCGGACGGGUGAGUAAUACAUAGGAAUCUGCCUAGUAGUGGGGGAUAACGUAGGGAAACUUACGCUAAUACCGCAUACAUCCUACGGGGGAAAGCAGGGGAUCUUCGGACCUUGCGCUAUUAGAUGAGCCUAUGUCGGAUUAGCUAGUUGGUGAGGUAAAGGCUCACCAAGGCGACGAUCCGUAGCUGGUCUGAGAGGAUGAUCAGCCACACUGGGACUGAGACACGGCCCAGACUCCUACGGGAGGCAGCAGUGGGGAAUAUUGGACAAUGGGCGCAAGCCUGAUCCAGCCAUGCCGCGUGUGUGAAGAAGGCCUUAGGGUUGUAAAGCACUUUCAUUGGGGAGAAAGGCUGUUUGGUUAAUACCCAAGCAGAUUGAUGUUACCCAAAGAAGAAGGACCGGCUAACUCCGUG